rnacentral:rRNA from 1 species
GGGCGUACGGUGGAUGCCUUGGCAGUCGAACCGAUGAAGGACGUGGCUACCUGCGAUAAGCCUCGGCGAGCUGGGAAGCAAGCUUUGACCCGGGGAUGUCCGAAUGGGGAAACCCACUAGCGCGAACCGCUAGUACCCAUAGCUGAACACAUAGGCUAUGUGGAGGGAACCCAGGGAACUGAAACAUCUAAGUACCUGGAGGAAAAGAAAGAAACCUCGAUUCCCUUAGUAGUGGCGAACGAAAAGGGAAUAGCCCAAACCGCUUCCUACGGGAAGCGGGGUUGUAGGACCAGCAAUGUGGACCCGAGUGUCUAGCCGAAGCGUACUGGAAAGGCGCGCCAAAGUGGGUGAUAGCCCCGUAGGCGAAAGGCACGGAGGCCUAGCUGGCACCUGAGUAGCUCGAGUCACGUGGAACCUCGAGUGAAUCCACGGGGACCACCCCGUAAGGCUAAAUAUUCCGACUGACCGAUAGUGGACAAGUACCGUGAGGGAAAGGUGAAAAGUACCCCGUGAGGGGAGUGAAAUAGUACCUGAAACCGUGCGCUUACAAGCAGUCACAGCCCUAUGCGUGCUCUUCGGAGCGCGAAUGGGUGGUGGCGUGCCUAUUGAAGCAUGAUCCUGUGACUUACUGGCAGUGCCGAGUUUAAGCUGUUAAGCGAAGGCGAAGCGAAAGCGAGUGUGAAUAGCGCGUUUAGGCGCUGUUAGUAGACCCGAAACCAGAUGAGCUAGCCAUGGCCAGGUUGAAGCCUCCGUAACAGGAGGUGGAGGACCGAACCCGUUGAGGUUUAAAACUCUUGGGAUGAGCUGUGGUUAGGAGUGAAAAGCUAACCGAAUCGGGAGAUAGCUGGUUCUCCCCGAAAUAGCUUUAGGGCUAGCCUCGGGGGUUUACCAGUGGCUGUAAAGCACUGAUUGGGCUAGGGGGCCUACCAGCUUACCAAACCCUGUCAAACUCUGAAGGCUACUGGUCCAGACCCCGGGAGUCAGUCUAUGGGAGCUAACUUUCAUAGACAAGAGGGAAACAACCCAGACCGCCAGUUAAGGUCCCUAAAUCGUGGCUAAGUGGUAAAGGAUGUGGAGAUGCUAAGACAGCUAGGAGGUUGGCUUAGAAGCAGCCAUUCCUUCAAAGAGUGCGUAAUAGCUCACUAGUCGAGCGUCUCUGCGCCGAAGAUGAUCGGGGCUAAGUCAUGUACCGAAACUGCGGCAAGGUGACUCUUCGGAGUCGCCUUGGGUAGGGGAGCGUUCCGUAGACCUGUGAAGCGGUACCGUAAGGAGCCGUGGAGGUAUCGGAAGUGCGAAUGCAGGAAUGAGUAACGAUAAGAAGGGUGAGAAUCCCUUCCGCCGAAAGCCUAAGGGUUCCUGAGCAAGGGUCGUCCGCUCAGGGUUAGGCGGGACCUAAGGCGAGGCCGAAAGGCGUAGUCGAUGGAUAGCAGGUUAAUAUUCCUGCCCCGCUUUCGUGGAGUGAUGGGGUAACGCAUUAGGAUAGGCCAACCGGAGCUAUGGCUAUGCCCGGCGGCCUGCGAAGCUCGAGGGGAUAGGAAAAUCCGCCCCUCGUUGAGAGUGACGUAGGUCGGGAAGGCCCCACGGGGCUGAUAACUGGUUGAAUCCAUGGUGCCAAGAAAAACCUCUAAACGUUGAAGCGAGAGCGCCCGUACCAAAACCGACACAGGUGGGCGAGUGUAAGAGCACUAAGGCGCGCGAGAGAACUCUGGUUAAGGAACUCUGCAAAAUAGCCCCGUAACUUCGGGAGAAGGGGUCCCGCGUGUACCGUUAGCAAUUCUUGCGAAGCGGGAAGCGGGCACAGUGAAUUGGCUCUAGCGACUGUUUACCACAAUCACAGCACUCUGCAAACCCAUGUAGGGGACGUAUAGGGUGUGACACCUGCCCGGUGCUGGAAGGUUAAGGGGAGGCGUGCAAGCGCCGAACUGAAGCCCCAGUGAACGGCGGCCGUAACUAUAAGUUGACCGUUGUAGUUACGUAAAUAAACUCAGCUAUUUGCUGGAAACUCCGGAGAAUCCUCCACUACUCGCCCUGUAUUAGACGGGCAGUAACAAUGUGCGAGGUGCGGACAAUCAGCAGGAAAGGCUCUCACAAGCGAUGCUUGAUGUUGAAAAGAUUCCUCCCCACAUCGGUUACUACCUAGUCGGCUUUGCUGACGGAGAAGGUAGUUUCCACGUAGUGUUCAGGAGGCGCAAAGACUACGUCAAGCCUUGGAAAACUUCGUUGUGUUUCAAUGUUUCGCAGCGAGACAAAGUCAUUCUGGCGCUUUUCAAGCGCCACCUCAACUGCGGUACGUUGCGACAGCGCCGCGACGGCGUGUGGUACUUCGAAGUCAAUAACCUGACUGCCGUUUUAGAAAACGUCAUUCCGUUCUUUGAACGCUUCAGGUUUAUGUCGGCGAAGAAAAAGCGCGAUUUUGCCAAGUUCAAACACCUUGCAACACUUUUUAAGGACGGUAAGCACCUUACUUAUGAAGGGCUUAAGCAGAUCCUUGAAAUUCGUAAGGAUAUGAACGAUGGCGGCGCUGAACGACGAAAGUAUACAGAUGCAGAAAUAUUGUGUCAGCUUGAGAGAGAAUCCUCAGAGACUAUACGCUGAGUCCAUUUGGAGCGACCGAACUGCCGCUGACUCCAAAGCGGAAUGAUAUAGUCCGAUCUCUGUGGCGACACAGAGGGUCCUCGUGACCGCACUGGCAAAACUGUCGGUGUAACGUAGAGAACGGUCCUAAGGUAGCGAAAUUCCUUGUCAGGUAAGUUCUGACCUGCACGAAUGGUGUAACGACUGGAGCGCUGUCUCAACCAGAGACUCGGUGAAAUUG